rnacentral:rRNA from 1 species
UACGGGGGGGGGCAAGCGUUGUUCGGAAUUACUGGGCGUAAAGGGCUCGUAGGCGGCCAAUUAAGUCAUACGUGAAAUCCCUCGGCUUAACCGGGGAACUGCGUCUGAUACUGGAUGGCUUGAGUUCGGGAGAGGGAUGCGGAAUUCCAGGUGUAGCGGUGAAAUGCGUAGAGAUCAGGCGGAACACCCGUAGCGAAGGCGGCCAGCUGGGCCGUCCCUGACACUGAGGCGCGAAGGCGUGGGGAGCGAACGGG